rnacentral:rRNA from 1 species
UAGUCCACGCAGUAAACGAUGAAUACUUGAUGUAGGAGGUAUCGACCCCUUCUGUGUCGAAGUUAACGUAUUAAGUAUUCCACCUGGGGAGUACGACCGCAAGGUUGAAACUCAAAGGAAUUGACGGGGACCCGCACAAGCAGUGGAGUAUGUGGUUUAAUUCGAGGCAACGCGAAGAACCUUACCAAGGCUUGACAUCAUUUUGAAGAUUGCUAGAGAUAGCGAUCCCUCCCUUCGGGGACAGAAUGAC